rnacentral:lncRNA from 1 species
AAAGGUGGAGAAACAUAUCUAAGGGGAAGAUUUGUAAUUAUUUUUUAUAUACCUAAAUUCCUAACUAAAGAAUCCAAACAUUGUUUAAUGUUUUCUGCUAACAAUUACUUUGAAGAAUAGUUUGUUAACUGUUUUGCAGGGUUAAGUUCAUAAUCCAUAAUGGUUUAGUUCAAAGAUCAAAAGUUUUUAUGAAGUUUCAAAGAUCAGAAUACAAG